rnacentral:rRNA from 1 species
CCUACGGGUGGCUGCAGUGGGGAAUAUUGGACAAUGGGCGAAAGCCUGAUCCAGCCAUGCCGCGUGUGUGAAGAAGGCCUUCGGGUUGUAAAGCACUUUCAGUGGGGAAGAAAGCCUUGGGGCUAAUACCCUCGAGGAAGGACAUCACCCACAGAAGAAGCACCGGCUAACUCCGUGCCAGCAGCCGCGGUAAUACGGAGGGUGCGAGCGUUAAUCGGAAUUACUGGGCGUAAAGCGCGCGUAGGCGGUCUGAUAAGCCAGUUGUGAAAGCCCCGGGCUCAACCUGGGAACGGCAUCCGGAACUGUCAGGCUAGAGUGCAGGAGAGGAAGGUAGAAUUCCCGGUGUAGCGGUGAAAUGCGUAGAGAUCGGGAGGAAUACCAGUGGCGAAGGCGGCCUUCUGGACUGACACUGACGCUGAGGUGCGAAAGCGUGGGUAGCAAACAGGAUUAGAUACCCCUGUAGUC